AUCGUGAAUUUUCACCGAUGGAUAUCUAGGCUCCUAUAACGAUGAAGAACGCAGCGAAAUGCGAUAAGCAAUGCCAAUUGCAGAACCGUGAGUCAUCAGAUUUUUGAACGCAAGUGGCGGCAGUUUCGGUUGUCCUCUUUAUUUCAGUG
rnacentral:rRNA from 1 species